rnacentral:rRNA from 1 species
AGCAGCCGCGGUAAUUCCAGCUCCAAUAGCGUAUAUUAAAGUUGUUGCAGUUAAAAAGCUCGUAGUUGAAUUUCGGGAUCAGUAUGUUGGUCGUGCUUCGGUACGUACUGUCAUUACUGGUUUCUCCCUUCUGAAGAACCUUGAUGUCAUUAAUUUGGUGUCUUGGGGAAUCAGGACUGUUACUUUGAAAAAAUUAGAGUGUUUAAAGCAGGCAUACGCUUGAAUACAUUAGCAUGGAAUAAUGAAAUAGGACGUUUGAUCCUAUUUUAUUGGUUUCUGGGAUCGACGUAAUGAUUAAUAGGGAUAGUUGGGGGCAUUAGUAUUCAAUUGUCAGAGGUGAAAUUCUUGGAUUUAUUGAAGACUAACUACUGCGAAAGCAUUUGCCAAGGAUGUUUUCAUUAAUCAAGAACGAAAGUUAGGGGAUCGAAGACGAUCAGAUACCGUCGUAGUCUUAACCAUAAACUAUGCCGACUUGGGAUCGGAUGAUGUUAAUUUUUUAAUGACUCA